CUCAGAAUACUGCAGAGGUUGCAUGAAAUACUGAGGCUGUUCAUAAUCAUUCUCCGUGAUAUUUCAGGUACUUGAGUGUGUCCUGAAGAGUUCAGAUUCAGGCCAGAACACCAUAGGGAAGACAUCAGAACCAACUCCAGGACUCUCAGGACUCUCACGCCAGGCAAGCGGCUCUUUGAUGAUAUCCCCAACUGGGACUGGCCACCAGUGACGCGAGUUGUUGAAAUGCUCACCCGAGCCCUCCAUGGCCCCCACAGCUUCCUGGCAGACCCCGAAGGUUUCUGCACAGGAAAGCGGCGACUCUGCAAGGCUGUGUCUUGGCUGCUGGCGCAGAGAUACAGGGCUGAGUCUUCUGGCUGCAGGGUGUGUAUGUGAAGGUGUAAGUGAGAGCUGUCUGGGCAUUCAGGAUUCCUCUCAAGGACAGACCACUCCCAUUCAAGGAAUCUCCUUCUCCCCUGUGGGAUCACACAAGACAGCGCCACUCAAAAUGUCCCUUCCCUCAAUGUCUAAGCACAGUAGAGCCCUUUUUGCCCGGUUCUGUGGAGGCAGGAUGACUGCAUGACCACGGAUGCAGUGUGGACCAACGCCCAUCAUUCAAGGAUCCUAAAUUGUGUAUGCAGAGGGUGGCGGACCCGAAGGCUGAGCAGAGAACAAGUUCUGGAAGGCUGAAGACAUGGGUAGAGAUUUCAGAAGAGCCAGGGCAUUCAGACCCAGUUACAGUGGAGUGAUGUGGUGAAUACACUGUGAUUCCACUAAGACCCUGGGAAGGCCAUGCGCUAGCAAUGAUGACCACGUGCUGGGGCUCUCUAAGAGGGAGGGCGAAGCUGAAAUAGACUGUAGCAAGUCCUACAUUUAACCCUCCCAGAAUAAAACCCAACACUUUCCAAGAGACAACAUAAUCCAGAGUCUCAAGUGUAUAUUGUCCACAAUGCUUUACAUAAACCCUUUCUUUCAUGGAGGAUAUUUAGAAGUCUCCUAAUCCUUCAGACCACCCCACAAUCUAUCUCCUUUCUGAUCCAUACUACUACCAGUGUUCCUGUACCAAAAUAUCAGUUUCAUCAUGUUGUUUCACUUGGAGUAAGGACCAGUGGCUCACCACUACCUAGGGAUUUGUUUCCAAAGUCCUUUCCAUGUCUCCCAAUAUCCCCUGUCAUCAAGCUAUCACUUGCUGUUGAGGAGAGUUCAAGAAGACGUUCAUCAGAAUUGGGAGAGACUCUUGCUGGUCACCCUUCUUGAAGAAAAGGAGUCUACAAGGCACAAGGCUGCCUCCACUGGCUUCUCCUCAACACUUUCCAGUCUACCUAUUGCCAUGGAAUUUCAUGCCUCUCCUAAUA